rnacentral:ncRNA from 1 species
CUUGAGGUCAGUUAUUACUUAAUAUACACAUGCAAGUAUCCGCCCCCCUGUGAAAACGCCCUUUUAACCCUUUUAGGGACAAGGAGCUGGUAUCAGGCACGAAAAUCUGCCCAAGACACCUAGCUAUGCCACACCCACAAGGGAAUUCAGCAGUGAUUAACAUUGAGUAUAAGCGUAAGCUUGACUCAGUUAAGGUAAUAAAGAGCCGGCUAAUCUGGUGCCAGCCGCCGCGGUUACACCACGUGGCUCAAAUUGACCUCCUUCGGCGUAAAGCGUGAUUAAAGUUAUAAACCACUAGAAUUAAACUAAAACUAAGCUGUGACACGCUUGUUUUUAAAAAACCCAAAAACGAAAGUUAUUCUACUACAACCAACUUGAACUCACGACAGCUGAGAAACAAACUGGGAUUAGAUACCCCACUAUGCUCAGCCGUAAACUUUUACUUACACCUAAUCGCCAGGGAACUACGAGCCAAGCUUAAAACCCAAAGGACUUGACGGUACCCCAUAUCCCCCUAGAGGAGCCUGUCCUAUAAUCGAUAAUCCACGUUUAACCUCACCAUUUUUAGUUAAUCAGCCUGUAUACCUCCGUCGUCAGCUUACCACGUGAGCGUCAAUUAGUGAGCCUAAUGUUAUUUCACCAAUACGUCAGGUCAAGGUGCAGCAAAUGAAAUGGGAAGAGAUGGGCUACACUUUCUAUUUUAGAAGAUACGAAAAACUACCUAUGAAAACUAGUUAGAAGGCGGAUUUAGUAGUAAAAAGGAAUCAGCAUGUCCAUUUUAACCUGGCACUGGGGUGCGC